rnacentral:rRNA from 1 species
UCCUACGGGAGGCAGCAGUGAGGAAUCUUGCGCAAUGGGGGCAACCCUGACGCAGCAACGCCGCGUGAGUGAUGAAGGCCUUCGGGUCGUAAAGCUCUGUCAGAUGGGAAGAAAGUCUUCGUGACGAAUAAUCACGGAGAUUGACGGUACCGUCAAAGGAAGCACCGGCUAACUCCGUGCCAGCAGCCGCGGUAAUACGGAGGGUGCUAGCGUUGUUCGGAAUUAUUGGGCGUAAAGAGCGUGUAGGCGGCCAGGUAAGUCAGAUGUGAAAACCCUUGGCUUAACUAAGGAAGUGCAUUUGAAACUGCCUGGCUUGAGUACGGGAGGGGAAAGCGGAAUUCCCGGUGUAGAGGUGAAAUUCGUAGAUAUCGGGAGGAACACCGGUGGCGAAGGCGGCUUUCUGGACCGAUACUGACGCUGAGACGCGAAAGCGUGGGGAGCAAACAGGAUUAGAUACCCCGGUAGC